CCUACGGGAGGCAGCAGUGAGGAAUAUUGGUCAAUGGCCGUAAGGCUGAACCAGCCAAGUCGCGUGAAGGAAGAAGGAUCUAUGGUUUGUAAACUUCUUUUAUAUGGGAAUAAAGGUAUCCACGUGUGGAUAUUUGCAUGUACCCUAUGAAUAAGCAUCGGCUAACUCCGUGCCAGCAGCCGCGGUAAUACGGAGGAUGCGAGCGUUAUCCGGAUUUAUUGGGUUUAAAGGGUGCGUAGGUUGUUUUUUAAGUCAGCGGUGAAAGUUUGUGGCUCAACCAUAAAAUUGCCGUUGAAACUGGAAGACGUGAGUGUGUUUGAGGUAGGCGGAAUGCGUGGUGUAGCGGUGAAAUGCAUAGAUAUCACGCAGAACUCCGAUUGCGAAGGCAGCUUACUAAGCCAUAACUGACACUGAAGCACGAAAGCGUGGGGAUCAAACAGGAUUAGAUACCCGAGUAGUC
rnacentral:rRNA from 1 species